GGCUGGUCCAAGUGCAGUGGUGUUUACAACUAAUUGAUCACAACCAGUUACAGAUUUAGUUGUUCCUUCUCCACUCCCACUGCUUCACUUGACUAGUCUUUG
ensembl:misc_RNA Y_RNA Y RNA